UUUGCCCGGCGCCAGACUUCACUACCGGGGGAGCGGGAAUUAGCCUCACCCGCGCUUCUCUCCAGGGAAGAAAGGGUUCAGUGUUGUUAAUAACGAUGGCCCCGGUUCGUGGCGCCAUGUUCGACCAGGAUUCCAGGGUGAUCCAGAGCGCCUUCCUGCACGCCAUCCAGCACUACAGUCAAAACACCGCGGGCAGGAGGCUUCAGCUUCACGCCUUUGUGGGCAUCAUCAGUAUGGCGGAUGCCUUCAAGAUCUCUAGACUGAGUGGUAACACGGAGAGCAAGUGGAAGAAACCUUGGGAGACUUCCAUGACUCAGGAACAAUCACACCUCACUGGGAGCCUUGUGACUGACAGGUGGUUCAGACCGACUGGGAGACAUGACACCAGUGCCACCACGCAGGGAGUAAAACCAAGAGGAGGAAGAGGAGCAUUCAAGAGACAUCAGCUGGCCAGCAGUCCAUUCAGGAGUGCAGCCUCUACAAGUGGUGGAGGGCAUGGACACUUGGAUAUGGAUGACACUGGUUUGGGUGCCAAAUAUUAAUAGUGCACCUACACAAUUACCACACUCGCUCCUCUCACCAGGCUUAACUAUAAAUAAUUAAAGGAGUGAGGAGGCACAUCUGUCUGUGAUUAGGGAAUGCAAAUGAUGAUGUUCCAAGGACAUCACCCUGUCCUGGGCCAUGACAUGAGAGAGAAGAGGAAAAAAGGACUCUCUCUUUCUCUCUCUCUCUCUCUCUCUCUCUCUCUCUCAGAGUUUCCAUAACACCAAACUACUCUGGUGUUAAUUUCAUGAGUUGCUGAAUAAUAGAAAUGGGAAUGUUAGUUCAAUGCAUUUAGCUCUGAGUAUGAAAGAAUGACAAGAAAGAAUGCAGAGGACACUAGAACACAUGCACAGAAAACUGAAAGAUUUUUAAACUUUUGAAUAGGUGUAGGAAAAAAAAAAAAAAAAAAAAAAAAACUGCAAAAUCAGUGUCUCCUUAAAACAACACAUGACAGCAAUGAUAACUCACACAACAAUAAUGCUUGAUGAAGACUAUAUUUCCAACACAGAUUUAUGACAACAUUUGGCAAAGCUGUGCACUGCUUACUUGUGUUAAAACUAUGCUAUGAUUUGAGAGGAAAGUUGGUUAGUCAUUAUAGGGUUAAGAUGAUAUAAGGGUGUUUAUUUUAGCUAAUUUCCAAUGACUCCUAAUAUAAGAUUAAAACUUUAAUGAUUAAGUAACUAUUUCAUUGUUUACAUUAAUUUACACCAAAAUUUCGCAACUACAACCUCAGGGAUGUUUAGUUAAUCCAAUUUUGUUCACAACUACUACAUUUUUUCCAGUGGUUUACCCAUAGUACAACACAAACAACUACAAUAUCAUUCAUGCUAUUUCAUUCCCAAAAAAAAUUCACAACUAUGUACAUGAUCUAGUUUACAAUAAAAGGAUUUUGAACAAUA